CUUCCGAUCUCGGCACGCCUAACACAUGCAAGUCGAACGAAGUAGCAAUACUUAGUGGCAGACGGGUGAGUAACAUGUGGGUAUCUACCCUUUGGCCUGGAAUAACACGAGGAAACUUGUGCUAAUACCGGAUAAGUCUUUACGGAGAAAGCUUUAUGCACCAUUGGAUGAGCCCGCACUUGAUUAGUUUGUUGGUAGGGUAAUGGCCUACCAAGACUAUGAUCAAUAGCUGAUUUGAGAGGAUGAUCAGCCACAUUGGGACUGAGACACGGCCCAAACUCCUACGGGAGGCAGCAGUGGGGAAUCUUGCACAAUGGAGGAAACUCUGAUGCAGCGAUGCCGCGUGAGUGAAGAAGGCCUUUGGGUUGUAAAGCUCUUUCGUCGGGGAAGAAAAUGACUGUACCCGAAUAAGAAGGUCCGGCUAACUUCGUGCCAGCAGCCGCGGUAAUACGAAGGGACCUAGCGUAGUUCGGAAUUACUGGGCUUAAAGAGUUCGUAGGUGGUUGAAAAAGUUGGUGGUGAAAUCCCAGAGCUUAACUCUGGAACUGCCAUCAAAACUUUUCAGCUAGAGUAUGAUAGAGGAAAGCAGAAUUUCUAGUGUAGAGGUGAAAUUCGUAGAUAUUAGAAAGAAUACCAAUUGCGAAGGCAGCUUUCUGGAUCAUUACUGACACUGAGGAACGAAAGCAUGGGUAGCGAAGAGGAUUAGAUACCCUCGUAGUCCAUGCCGUAAACGAUGUGUGUUAGACGUUGGAAAUUUAUUUUCAGUGUCGCAGGGAAACCGAUAAACACACCGCCUGGGGAGUACGACCGCAAGGUUAAAACUCAAAUGAAUUGACGGGGACCCGCACAAGUAGUGGAGCAUGUGGUUUAAUUCGAAAAUACGCGCAGAACCUUACCAACACUUGACAUGUUCGUCGCGACUCUAAGAGAUUAGAGUUUUCGGUUCGGCCGGACGAAACACAGGUGCUGCAUGGCUGUCGUCAGCUCGUGUCGUGAGAUGUUGGGUUAAGUCCC
rnacentral:rRNA from 1 species